rnacentral:lncRNA from 1 species
GCGGGAGGAAGAACACACAGGAGCUGCCGGACCAGAACAGAAGAACCCCUUGCCUGUAUAUUUAGCUCAUCGAGGAAUAUAAACAGAAACCUGGAGCCGGCUCAACGCCCCCCCUGAAGUGUGAGUCAUCACUGCUGCUGCAGCUAAAGUUAGGCUCCAAUCACAGGCUCCCUCCGCGCUCCCUCCUCUCAUCUCUCCAGUCCCCUAUCGCCUCCUAUCGCCUUAUCUGUUUCUCCUCCUCCCUCCCCAUCCUCUCCGGUCUUUCUCCCCAAACCUCUCUCCGCUUUGAUGCUCCAAACUCGCUCCCCCAUCAGUCGAUUUCCUCUGUCUCUCUCCCUCGGUUUCCCCUCUUCCUUCUCUCCUUUCCCUCUGUCCCUGACAUCUUCCCCUUCUGAGAGCAUUUGGGAGAGGGCAUAUUUGCGCCUGUGUUUGUCUCCAGGGCCUGGAACUGUGCCUGACACACGGUGGGCCUCAGGGAGGAGCCCUGCAGACAGAGCUGCCGCCACGCCCCUGCGCGAGGAACACGCAUCCCUUCAGCAAACGCUCCAGCACCCACUCGAGGCCCAGCUCUGCUCUGCACAGACGGGCCCUGCUGCGUGGGGCUGGGGGUGCAGCAUGGCGGGGCGGAGAGG